rnacentral:tRNA from 5 species
GCGGGUGUAGUUCAAUGGUAGAACCUCAGCCUUCCAAGCUGAUGACGUGGGUUCGAUUCCCACUACCCGCUCCA